CCUACGGGUGGCAGCAGUAGGGAAUAUUGCUCAAUGGGGGAAACCCUGAAGCAGCAACGCCGCGUGGAGGAUGAAGGUUUUCGGAUUGUAAAGUCCUUUUGUUAUAGAAGAUAAUGACGGUAUCUAACGAAUAAGCACCGGCUAACUCCGUGCCAGCAGACGCGGUAAUACGGAGGGUGCAAGCGUUACUCGGAAUCACUGGGCGUAAAGAGCGCGUAGGCGGGAUAGCACGUCAGAUGUGAAAUCCUAUGGCUUAACCAUAGGACUGCAUCUGAUACUGUUAUUCUAGAGUAUGGGAGAGGUAGGUGGAAUUCUUGGUGUAGGGGUUAAAUCCGUAGAGAUCAGGAGGAAUACUCAUUGCGAAGGCGACCUUCUAGAUCAUAACUGACGCUGAUGCGCGAAAGCGUGGGGAGCAAACAGGAUUAGAUACCCUGGUAGUC
rnacentral:rRNA from 1 species